UGAGGAAUAUUGGGCAAUGGACGCAAGUCUGACCCAGCCAUGCCGCGUGCAGGAUGAAGGCUCUAGUAGUUGUAAACUGCUUUUCUACGGGAAUAAAAGGCUUUACGUGUAGGGUCCUGAAGGUACUGUAGGAAUAAGCAUCGGCUAACUCCGUGCCAGCAGCCGCGGUAAUACGGAGGAUGCAGGCGUUAUCCGGAUUUAUUAGGUUUAAAGGGUGCGUAGGCGGACCUAUAAGUCAGUGGUGAAAUGCUACAGCUUAACUGUAGAACUGCCAUUGAAACUGUAGGUCUUGAAUACAAUUGAGGUGGGCGGAAUGUGUAAUGUAGCGGUGAAAUGCUUAGAUAUUACACAGAACUCCAAUUGCGAAGGCAGCUCACUAAGUUGUUAUUGACGCUGAGGCACGAAAGCGUGGGGAGCAAACAGG
rnacentral:rRNA from 1 species